UAUGAGAAUGUCCCAAAAUUUACACUUUAUGUAUGAUUCUGAGACAAAAAAACUUGAUAUACUAAAUGUUGAAAACCACGAAACAUGAGGGUAGUAAACAGUCUUUUACCCUAAAUACAAUGAAACCCACAAAACAACAAUGGCACAAAUUAAAUCGAGAACUAAAACUACAAAUCCAAAUAACCCUAAUAUCAUAGAAACUAAAUAUUUACCGUUACAAACGCAUAACCCUACUUUGAGCUCACAAGGUUUCACCAAACAAAUAUUUAGACCAAAAUAACCUUAAAACCGAAUCAAAAUUUUGGAAUUCUCGAAUUUCGGAAUUGGCCCUUCAAGCUAGGCCUGACAAACGGGUUGUGUCAGUCGUGUUCGUGUCGUUUUCGUGUAACACCUGUUAUCUUAACGGGUCGUGUCGUGUCACACCCGUUAUCUUAACGAGUCCUUAACAGGUCGUGUCACUUUACCCAACAGGUAAAGUGACCCGACCCAUUAUGACCCGUUAUGACCCGUUAAGAAAAAUAUAUUUUUUUUCUUAAAUUUGCACAUACCACACAUUGACACAUAAAUAUUACUUCAAAACAUUAAAACACAUUUGUCGUUUAAGUACUACAUCUACACUCGAAAAUAAGAGCCUAAUAAAAAAAUAAUACAUACACUACUAAUCUAUUACAAAUUUUAAAUGUGCAAGGAUAUGCAAAAUGAAACAGUUUUUGUUUUCAAGGUUGUGAAAUCUUUCUCAAAAGUUUAAACCUCAAUUUACAAAAUUCUCGAUUUACAUCAAUCAUCAUGAAAUUGCAUUGGAACUUUGGCUUGAUCUAUUGCCUUCAAGAGUUAUGUUGAUGAUGUUUUCAGUAUGGUUUUCCACGUCAUAACUAUCUUCUGCAUAAACUAAGCAUAGAAAAACCAAACAUUAAAAAUCAUUCAAAUUAUGAGAAGUUUACCAAAAUAAUUAUGAAAAAAAAUAAAACAAUAGUACUAUACCAUACUUUUAUUAAGUAUAAACAUAAGAUUUUGUGGUAUCCACUAGUGUAAAUAUUUGAAAUUGAGAUCGAAUUCAAUCAUUGUAUUCAUAUAAGGUCAAGGAGUGUAGUUGUAAAAAAUCAUCAAAAUCGGAGUUAAAUUAACCGUUAAAUCGUGAUUUUUCGUUUAUAACCGUCGAAAAGUUUUGUCCUGUUACGUGCUCUCUGAAUGUUUGUUUUUUGCAAUUUUUGGCGUAUGCGAUCUCGAAAUAUAUACAAACAUGUUUGACAUUUGAUCAUUGAAACUAGUUUCGUAGAAUGAGUAUCCCAUCAAAACAAUAGAUUCACUAAUACUUAAGAGUUUAUUCA
rnacentral:lncRNA from 1 species